AAUAGUCUUGCAUUGGUCUCUUUUCAAUACUCGUUUUACAUGAGCCGGAUAGAGGACAGACUGUACAUAUAACCUCGAAGCGGGCAUAAAACCUUAUAGCUACAGACACCAACUCAGACACAUUUCAAUUCACAAGAGAUGCAGACAAGAUGUGCAUCAGCAGAUACAGAUGAACACCCAAGUUGCAACAGUAACAAGAAAGAGCCUCAGACUAAGUCACUGAGCGAGGUGCAGAUGGUGUAAUAUGCCAAACAGAACAGCUUGGCAGACGAACACGAAAAGUUCUACGAAAGAAUCACAGUACAGACUGAUAUUCUCAUUAAAAAAAAUCCAAAAA